GAUAGUCUGCAAUUUUUGAUGGA
rnacentral:siRNA from 1 species